GGGUUGUGAGGUUAAGCGACUAAGCGUACACGGUGGAUGCCCUGGCAGUCAGAGGCGAUGAAGGACGUGCUAAUCUGCGAUAAGCGCCGGUAAGGUGAUAUGAACCGUUAUAACCGGCGAUUUCCGAAUGGGGAAACCCAGUGUGAUUCGUCACACUAUCAUUAACUGAAUCCAUAGGUUAAUGAGGCGAACCGGGGGAACUGAAACAUCUAAGUACCCCGAGGAAAAGAAAUCAACCGAGAUUCCCCCAGUAGCGGCGAGCGAACGGGGAGGAGCCCAGAGCCUGAAUCAGCAUGUGUGUUAGUGGAAGCGUCUGGAAAGGCGCGCGAUACAGGGUGACAGCCCCGUACACAAAAGCGCAUAUGCUGUGAGCUCGAUGAGUAGGGCGGGACACGUGGUAUCCUGUCUGAAUAUGGGGGGACCAUCCUCCAAGGCUAAAUACUCCUGACUGACCGAUAGUGAACCAGUACCGUGAGGGAAAGGCGAAAAGAACCCCGGCGAGGGGAGUGAAAAAGAACCUGAAACCGUGUACGUACAAGCAGUGGGAGCCCCACCACUAAGCCAGUGGUGAACUCCACAUACGCAUCCUUUGCUGAGGAUGCGGUUAACGGAGCGAAAGCGACGUUCAACCGCAAAAGAAGCAGAGGGGGCUUAGUGGUGG
rnacentral:rRNA from 1 species